AGCCAUCUCUAGAAUGUCAUAUGGUCUCUCUUCAACUGGAAUGACAAGAGCUGAAAGAAAUGUGCAACCAUGAGGACACUGUAACCUAUGAAUGAUGUGCUGAGAUGGGAAACCAAAAAUGAUGAGACCAUCAAGCUUCAGACCAUCGUGCAGCAAGGGCUCUAGCCAGUUCCAGGUGAAGACACCACCCCGGGCCAUCAGGGAGCUUCCCUGCCUCCACUAGACAGAGCAGAGUGAGAGUUCCAUGAUCCCCAAUAGGUAGGGGCUAUGCCUCAAGCCAGCAUGAAGCAGUUACAGAAGAAAAGACCAUCGGUUCCUCUGCCUCCCAUGGGGAUCACAUCUUUCAGCAGGGAGAUGAGGCAGAAAAAUAAGGUCUGGAGGCAGGGAAUUCAAGGCCGAUUCACACUUCAGCUAUGACAGGAAAUAUCCUCUCCAUAGGGUGUAGGCCAAGUAAAUGACUUUGUAACUUUACUCCUCAUUUUCAUAGGGUGCACCCCAAGUAAGCAAUGGAAUCCUCUAGAGGGUAUUUCCCCAAAAUUCUGUAACGGGGUCCUUGAGCCCCUAUGCUU
rnacentral:lncRNA from 1 species